rnacentral:rRNA from 1 species
CCUACGGGAGGCAGCAGUAGGGAAUCUUCCACAAUGGGCGAAAGCCUGAUGGAGCAACGCCGCGUGGGUGAAGAAGGUCUUCGGAUCGUAAAACCCUGUUGUUAGAGAAGAAAGUGCGUGAGAGUAACUGUUCACGUUUCGACGGUAUCUAACCAGAAAGCCACGGCUAACUACGUGCCAGCAGCCGCGGUAAUACGUAGGUGGCAAGCGUUAUCCGGAUUUAUUGGGCGUAAAGGGAACGCAGGCGGGCUUUUAAGUCUGAUGGGAAAGCCUUCGGCUUAACCGGAGUAGUGCAUUGGAAACUGGGAGACUUGAGUGCAGAAGAGGUGAGUGGAACUCCAUGUGUAGCGGUGAAAUGCGUAGAUAUAUGGAAGAACACCAGUGGCGAAAGCGGCUCUCUGGUCUGUAACUGACGCUGAGGUUCGAAAGCGUGGGUAGCAAACAGGAUUAGAUACCCGGGUAGUC